UACGGAGGGUGCAAGCGUUAUCCGGAUUCACUGGGUUUAAAGGGUGCGUAGGUGGGUUGGUAAGUCAGUGGUGAAAUCUCCGAGCUUAACUUGGAAACUGCCAUUGAUACUAUCAGUCUUGAAUACCGUGGAGAUGAGCGGAAUAUGUCAUGUAGCGGUGAAAUGCUUAGAUACGACAUAGAACACCAAUUGCGAAGGCAGCUCGUUACACGAAUAUUGACACUCAGGCACGAAAGCGUGGGGAUCAAACAGG
rnacentral:rRNA from 1 species